rnacentral:lncRNA from 1 species
CACACAUGGCUUUCUCUUGCACUACCUAACAAUGAGACCUAGACUUAUUAAACUUUUUCCCCCACAUGGCUUUAUCUUGGGCUACCUAACAAAGAGACCCUAGGUUAGUCUUUGUAUGAUCAUGCAUUAUAUGUUUUAUACAUCUUCUUCCCUCUGAUUUAGCUUAAUCAAAAUCCAUUUAAUCAACUAGAUCCUUUGACUUUGCACAUAUUCCCCCUAUCUUUGUCAAGUGACCAUAAGUCUCUUGGUCACUUAAGGGACUUGUCUCUG